CCUCUGCCUUUUAUUUACCCUGGGCUG
rnacentral:piRNA from 1 species